CCUACGGGAGGCAGCAGUGGGGAAUAUUGGACAAUGGGCGAAAGCCUGAUCCAGCCAUGCCGCGUGUGUGAAGAAGGCCUUCGGGUUGUAAAACACUUUCAGUGGGGAAGAAAGCCUUGGGGCUAAUACCCUCGAGGAAGGACAUCACCCACAGAAGAAGCACCGGCUAACUCCGUGCCAGCAGCCGCGGUAAUACGGAGGGUGCGAGCGUUAAUCGGAAUUACUGGGCGUAAAGCGCGCGUAGGCGGUCUGAUAAGCCGGUUGUGAAAGCCCCGGGCUCAACCUGGGAACGGCAUCCGGAACUGUCAGGCUAGAGUGCAGGAGAGGAAGGUAGAAUUCCCGGUGUAGCGGUGAAAUGCGUAGAGAUCGGGAGGAAUACCAGUGGCGAAGGCGGCCUUCUGGACUGACACUGACGCUGAGGUGCGAAAGCGUGGGUAGCAAACAGGAUUAGAUACCCUUGUAGUC
rnacentral:rRNA from 1 species